rnacentral:rRNA from 1 species
GCGUGAGUGAAGAAGGCCUUAGGGUUGUAAAGCUCUUUCACCGGUGAAGAUAAUGACGGUAGCCGGAGAAGAAGCCCCGGCUAACUCCGUGCCAGCAGCCGCGGUAAGACGGAGGGGGCUAGCGUUGUUCGGAAUUACUGGGCGUAAAGCGCGCGUAGGCGGUUGUUGAAGUUGAGGGUGAAAUGCCGGGGCUCAACCCCGGAACGGCCUUCAAAACUCGACGACUUGAGAUCGGGAGAGGAGAGUGGAAUUCCCAGUGUAGAGGUGAAAUUCGU